AGCGAACGCUGGCGGCAGGCCUAACACAUGCAAGUCGAACGGACCCUUCGGGGUUAGUGGCGGACGGGUGAGUAACACGUGGGAACGUGCCUUUAGGUUCGGAAUAGCUCCUGGAAACGGGUGGUAAUGCCGAAUGUGCCCUUCGGGGGAAAGAUUUAUCGCCUUUAGAGCGGCCCGCGUCUGAUUAGCUAGUUGGUGAGGUAAUGGCUCACCAAGGCGACGAUCAGUAGCUGGUCUGAGAGGAUGACCAGCCACAUUGGGACUGAGACACGGCCCAAACUCCUACGGGAGGCAGCAGUGGGGAAUCUUGCGCAAUGGGCGAAAGCCUGACGCAGCCAUGCCGCGUGGAUGAUGAAGGUCUUAGGAUUGUAAAAUCCUUUCACCGGUGAAGAUAAUGACUGUAGCCGGAGAAGAAGCCCCGGCUAACUUCGUGCCAGCAGCCGCCGCUGUAA
rnacentral:rRNA from 1 species